rnacentral:rRNA from 1 species
UAUCAGCGAAGGGUUAGUCGGUCCUAAGGGAAUCCCGAAUGGGGGACCCGAUGGAUAGCAGGUUAAUAUUCCUGCACACUGUUAUGUUCCUAUGGAGGGACGGAGCGUUGUACUUAUAGCAUCUUAUUGGAUUGGUGCUGGAGCAUUGAGGAAGUCACGUAGGUAAAUCCGCGUGGCAAUAUUCCGAGGUGAGCCUGAAUGUGCGGCUACGGCCAAGCAAAUAUAAGGAGCACGCUUCCAAGAAAAACUUCGUUUGGGUUAAGCAUAACAGUUCCGUACCGCAAACCGACACAGGUGGUAAGGUCGAGAAGACUAAGACGAACGAGUGAGAGGUCCUCAAGGAACUCGGCAAAAAAGCGGCCGUAACUUAGGGAUAAGGCCUGCCCUUCAGCAAUGAAGGGCCGCAGCGAAAGAUUUCCUGGCGACUGUUUAACAAAAACACAGCUCUCUGCGAACACGUAAGUGGAUGUAUAGAGGGUGACGCCUGACCUAUGCUGGAAGGUUAAAUAUGGGGGGUGAUAUGAGAUCCGUCUUGUAUUGCUGGACUAUAUAAGCCCCAGUAAAUGUCAGCGAUAACUAUAAUCGUUCUAAGGUAGCGUAUUUCCUUGUCGGGUAAGUUCCGACGUGCACGAAUGGCGUAACGACUGGGAAACUGUCUCGAGGACCUGCUCGGUGAAAAUACAAUCGCGGUAAAGAUGCCGCGUACCUGCAGAUAGACGAAAAGACCCCAGGUGCUUUACUGUAGCUUCGUAUUGGGGCUAUUGAAUUAAUGCGUAGUAUAGUGGGGAGACUUUGAAGUGGGCUUUCGGGUACCAUGGAGUCGUCAGUGAAAUACCCAUCUUUAUUUUGGUAGUCUCUAACCAGUUAGACAAAAUCUAACUGUGACAGUGCGUGGCAGGCAGUUUUAGUGGGGCGCUACCCUCCCAAAAAGUAACGGAGGGGUCUCAAGGUUGGUUAGUCGCGAAUGGAAACCGUGACGAUAGUGUAAUGGCAUAAACCAGCUUGACUGUAAGGCGUAGAUGCCGAACAGACGCGAAAGCGGAGCAUAGUGAACCGAUGGUACGCGUUAGAUGCGGCCGGAGAUUACCCGAUAAAAGUAACCCUGGGGAUAACAGGCUAGUCGUGCCCAAGCGUCCAUAGCGACGGCACGGUUCGGCACCUCGAUGUCGGCUCGACUUAUCCUGGGGCUGGAGCAGGUCCCAAGGGUUUGGCUGUUCGCCAAUUAAAAAGUCACGUGAGCUGGGUUUAGACCGUCGUGAGACAGGUUGGUCUCCUAUCUACUGCAGGCGUCGAUUCUUGAGGAGAGUUGUUCCUAGUACGAGAGGACCGGAAUGAACGAACCUCUGGUCUAUCAGCUGUCACGCCAGUGGCAUUGCUGAGUAGCUAUGUUCGGAAUGGAUAACCGCUGAAAGCAUCUAAGCGGGAAGCCAACUCCAAGAUUAGGAAUCAUUAAGUCCCCUGAGAGAUGAUCAGGUUGAUAGGCACUAAGUGGAAGUACAGCAAUGUAUGGAGCUGAGGUGUACUAAUAGGGCGUAAUUCCUGUAAGG